rnacentral:rRNA from 1 species
UACAGAGGGUGCAAGCGUUAAUCGGAAUUACUGGGCGUAAAGCGUGCGUAGACGGUAGCGUAAGUCGGGUGUGAAAGCCCCGGGCUCAACCUGGGAAUUGCAUUCGAGACUGCUCUGCUAGGGUGCGGAAGAGGGAAGCGGAAUUUCCGGUGUAGCGGUGAAAUGCGUAGAUCUACGAAGGAACGCCAAAAGCGAAGGCAGCUCUCUGGGUCCCUACCGACGCUGGGGUGCGAAAGCAUGGGGAGCGAACAGG